rnacentral:lncRNA from 1 species
CUGCAGGCAGUGCCUCCCUCGGGCGUGGGUCUGCAGGAGAGCCGGACAGGGCAGCGGCCGGCACUACCGCGCUGCGAUUUGCGCAGAGCUGAAGAAGCCCCUGACCAUUGAAGAGGUGGCCCCCGCCCCGUCGGGCCUCACGAGGUCAGAGUUGAUGUCCAUUUCUGUGGAGUUAACUUUGGUGAUAUUUUGAUCUGCCGUGAUCAAUAUCAGGAAAGGCCCCAUCUUCCCUUCACACCUGGUAAUAUAGCUGCUGCUGGAAGUGACGAGAAGUGCAAGCUGGCGAUGCAGAGGGGUGCGCAGUCCAGCGUGAACUACAGUCAGGGCAGCCUGAAGGAUGCAGCAUCAGCAUCAACGAGAACAGCAAGUGGGUG